rnacentral:rRNA from 1 species
GCGGACGGGAGAGAAACACGUGAGCAACCUGCCCCUUGGUUUUUUGGGAUAACUGCUUGAAAGGGUGGCUAAUACCGAUGGUGCGGUUGGUGUCGCAUGACAUUGAUCGGGAAGAAUCAGCUUUUGUUGGUUUGGUUGGGGAUGGGCUCGCGGCCUAUUAGUUUGUUGGUGGGGUGAUGGCUUACCAAGGCUUUGACGGGUAGCCGGCCUGAGAGGGUGGUCGGUCACAUUGGGACUGAGAUACGGCCCAGACUCCUACGGGAGGCAGCAGUGGGGAAUAUUGCACAAUGAACGGAAGUUUGAUGCAGCGACGCCGUGUGAGGGAUGAAGGCCUUUGGGUUGUAAACCUUUUUCGCUUUUGACCAAGGCGCAGGUUUGGCCUGUGUUGAGGGUAGGGGGUAAAUGAAGCUCCGGCUAACUACGUGCCAGCAGCCGCGGUAAUACGUAGGGAGCGAGCGUUGUCCGGAUUUAUCGGGCGUAAAGGGCUUGUAGGUGGUGUGUCGCGUCUGUCGUGAAAUUCCAUGGCUUAACUGUGGGAGUGCGGUGGGUACGGGCAUGCUUGAGUGCGGUAGGGGAGACUGGAAUUCUUGGUGUAGCGGUGGAAUGCGCAGAUAUCAGGAGGAACACCGGUGGCGAAGGCGGGUCUCUGGGCCGUUACUGACGCUGAGGAGCGAAAGCGUGGGGAGCGAACAGGAUUAGAUACCCUGGUAGUCCACGCUGUAAACGUUGGACACUAGAUGUGGUGGUCUCACUGUUUUGUGGGGUUGCUGUGUCGUAGUUAACGCAUUAAGUGUCCCGCCUGGGGAGUACGGCCGCAAGGCUAAAACUCAAAGGAAUUGACGGGGGCCCGCACAAGCGGCGGAGCAUGCGGAUUAAUUCGAGGCAACGCGAAGAACCUUACCAAGGCUUGACAUACACCUGGAGCGCGCGGAAACGUGUGUGACUUUGAUACAGGUUGUACAGGUGGUGCAUGGUUGUCGUCAGCUCGUGUCGUGAGAUGUUGGGUUAAGUCCCGUAACGAGCGCAACCCUUGUCUUAUGUUGCCAGCAACACUGGCUAGCACU